rnacentral:misc_RNA from 1 species
GUUAAAAUUUGAUAAACAACAUAAUUAAAUGUACAGAGUUUUUUUAUUGAUCAUUUAGGCUUGUUUUUAUUUUCUAUUUCUCUCUCUCCCUCUCUCUCUCUCUCUCUUCUCUUCCUCUUUAUACAUUCAGCUAUCUCUAACCCUAUCCUUAUAUCCGCUUAUUUAUAUCUCUAUCUUUAGAUCACAUCUCUAUGAUUUCAAUUUGCAUUUAUAAACACUAUUAUUUAUAAACAGCGAAAAGGGAAAGUCUGGCAAACAAGUAAAUUAUAUGUUCUUAGUAAUCAGUUUUUAUUUAUAGGCCUACGACUAUUAACGAGAUUUGACGAGAAUGAAUGAAAAGUUAUGUUAACACUAUAAAAAUCAAGCUACAAGAUUUAAAUACUGCUAUUAACAAAACUAGAAAUUUGUCAUAUCUGAAAGAAAACUUAAAAUCAUUGGCAUUUAGAAGUAUUGUCCCUAAACCACGUGUUUCUGAAGAAAUAAUAACACAAAAGAAGAGGAAUAAACCAAACUUUUUAUUAAGAAAACAUCUUAAAAGAUCUUUACAUUACAAUGGAAGACAUAAAACCUCCAUCUCGAGUGAAAGGUAUGAAGAUAUUGCAAAAAGGGGAAUUCGAUACAACAUAUCUAGUACCUGCAGUGAAAAUAGAAAAUGAGCGUAUUAAAAAGUUUUUACAGGAAAAUAAAAAAUAUAUGUUAAAGCAGAGGGCCGUUAAACCAAUUAUAGACUUGGAAAAUGGAGAGAAGCUAAUACUUCUCAACCCGUCUAGUAAAGAAUAUCUACAAGAUUUACAACUAGAAUAUCAUAAUUUAGAAUUACAUUAUGAGAAUUUUAAUCAUCUUGACAUCUUUCAAGCAAUUUUACCGGAUCAUCUAGACAGAGUGUCAUCAUACAGUUCAAUUGGCCAUAUCCUCCAUUUAAAUCUUAAUGAGGACACCUCAGAGUACAAACAUUUAAUAGGUCAAGUUCUUCUGGAUAAAAUCCCUUAUGCUAAAACUGUUGUCAAUAAACAAAAUGUUAUAAACAAUACAUAUAGAUUUUUUGAAAUGGAAAUUUUAGCUGGAGAGGAGAAUUUUAUUACAAAAACGAAAGAACACGGUUGUAUUUAUGAAUUAGAUUUUAGUAAAGUUUACUGGAACCCUAGACUAAGUACUGAACAUCAAAGGCUAGUUAGUGAGCUUUCCCCAACAGAUAUCCUUUAUGAUGUAUUUGCUGGUAUUGGGCCGUUUGCUAUUCCUGCAGCCAAAAAAGGAUGUACAGUUUUAGCUAACGAUUUAAAUCCGGAAUCAUAUCGUUGGUUGGAGAAUAACGUAAAAAUUAACAAGACAAAGAUUUCAACGUAUAAUUUGGAUGGAAGGGAUUUUAUUAAAACAGCUUUAAAAUCACAUUUGAUCGAUAUUUGGAAAACUAACAACAAGACCAAUAUACAUGUUGCAAUGAAUCUGCCUGCAUUGGCUAUUGAGUUUCUAGAUGAAUUCGUUGGUUUAUUCUCCGAUUAUAGCACGACAUUGCCUGUUGGAGAAAUGCCAGUUAUACAUGUUUAUGGAUUUGGGAUCACAGAACAAGAUGUUUUGACAUCGGUGAUAUCUAAGCUUCCUGGCUUACAAUUGGAUGAUCUUCAAUUAAGAACUGUUAGAAACGUUGCACCUAACAAGAAUAUGUUUUUAAUUAAGUUUAAACUCUUAAAGAGUAUUCUUUUUAGAAGCGAUUUCGAAGAACCACCAACUAAAAAAAAGCUCUGCUCCAAUUAAACUACGCAUUCUUUUCUCUCUCUCUCUUAUUUUUAAUUAAACAAAAAUGAUUAGUAAAAGAGAAAGAGGAGAUUUAAAAUAAAAUAAAGAUGUUUGUUGAAAUUGUU